rnacentral:tRNA from 1 species
GCAAGAGUGGCGGAACUGGUAGACGCAUCAGACUCAAAAUCUGACGAUAGUAAUAUCUUGUGGGUUCGAUUCCCAUCUCUUGCACCA